UUCUCUCCCCCUCAGCUCUCCCGAAGCUCUCUCACUCUCCCGUGCAUCUCUCUCACUCUCAACCUCUCUCAUAUCUCUUCCCCCUGACUCGCGAGGACCCUAGCAUUCCCAGGAGAGGCCUGUAGCGAACCAGGGAUCCCUGCACCGCGAGACCGACGGCACGGAGCAAAACUCCGGCGAGUUUUCUCCAUUUUUCCCGUCGGGUUUUUGCUUCGGAACGGUCGUGGGUGAGCACACCCACUUUUCCGGUGAUCCUGUGCACCCCGAGAGCUUUCCCGGUCACCUCCGACCGAGUUGUGACGUUUGGAAGGUAAAAUUGCUAGUGGAGAAAUUCUAUAUCCUUAUUCGCACGACUCGCCUGCUAAGGAAUAUUUGUCAUAGUAACGAGGAUUACGACUGGACGUACGAGGCAUUUCCCUACCAGUAGCACUCUAUCACCCACUUGUGUGACAUCUUGUAAUAGUCUUUCCUUUUUGUAAAACUGGUUUUAGUCUGUGUCUGGUUCACUCUAGACAUUUUCUUGAAUGUUGUUAAUUAAUUCUAAACUCUGAUGUUAUUCAUGAAUAUUUUCUUCUAAUCAUUGCUCUUGUAAUCAAUUAAUGGCUUUCGUCACCUUGGGUGUCGGCCAG